GUGCUCUCAGCACAUAGACUAAAAUCAGAGCAAUUUAAAGAAGAUUAACAUGACCACUGCACAAAAAUGAUAUGCAAAUCCAUGAGGCAUUCCAUAUUGUU
ensembl:snRNA U6 U6 spliceosomal RNA